rnacentral:rRNA from 1 species
AUACGGAGGGUGCAAGCGUUGUCCGGAUUUAUUGGGUUUAAAGGGUGCGUAGGUGGCGUGUUAAGUCGGUGGUGAAAGCCUGCAGCUCAACUGUAGAGGUGCCAUUGAUACUGACAUGCUUGAGUAUGGACGAGGUAGGCGGAAUUUGUGGUGUAGCGGUGAAAUGCAUAGAUACCACAAAGAACACCGAUAGCGAAGGCAGCUUACUGGACCAUAACUGACACUCAGGCACGAAAGUGUGGGUAGCGAACAGGAUUAGAAACCCCAGUAGUCC